rnacentral:ncRNA from 2 species
UAGAGCCGUAUACGAGACCCGUAUGUACGGUUCAAUGAGAGGGAGAUAACUUUUGCGGAUUUCUCUACUCUAU